AUAUCAGCAUUGCAUUGGACUUGUGACAACUUAGUCUACAUAUUUCUUUUAGUUUACAAUGCAUUCUCACACUACCUUCUUCCAUUUU